UGACGGGGUCGGCGAUUGACCGCGGAGCACGCAGGCCGUGGAGCCCGUAUACUGGAGGGGNNCCACGGACCAGUGCCACAGAAAGCAGACCGCCGCGCGCGAGCGCGGUAAGGGUGAAACGGUGAGGUAAGAGCUCACCAGCGGCGCGGGUGACCGCGUCGGCUCGGCAAACCCCACCCGGAGCAAGACCGAAUAGGAGAGCGCAGGGUGGCCCGCCCGUUGCUCUCGGGUUAGGUCGCUGGAGGCGCCGGGCAACCGGCGUCCUAGAGAAAUGACCGUCGCCCCGCAAGGGGGACAGAACCCGGCUUACAGGCCCUCUCUGGCG
rnacentral:RNase_P_RNA from 1 species